rnacentral:rRNA from 1 species
UACGUAGGGGGCAAGCGUUGUCCGGAUUUAUUGGGCGUAAAGAGCGUGUAGGCGGCCAGGUAGGUCUGCUGUGAAAACUCGAGGCUUAACCUCGAGCUGUCGGCGGAAACCAUCUGGCUAGAGUCCGGAAGAGGAGAAUGGAAUUCCCGGUGUAGCGGUGAAAUGCGCAGAUAUCGGGAGGAACACCUGUGGCGAAAGCGGCGCACUGGACCACAACUGACGCUGAGGCGCGAAAGCUAGGGGAGCAAACAGG